rnacentral:tRNA from 1 species
GGUCUCGUGGCCGAGUGGCUAGGCACUGGUCUGCAAAACCACCUACAGCAGUUCGAUUCUGCUCGAGACCUCCA